GGUUGGAAACUAUCAAAUAGCGCCGAUGUUUGGAUACCGAUAAGCCCGUUCUUCUGACCAGGCCUGGCAAGUACAGAUUAUGCUUUGAAAAGUAAUAUUUACAGUGGAUAACAUCACUUAGGUCGACCAAGCACUAGGGAUUUCAAAAGACUGAUCUAACCAUGCUCUGUUCACUUCUGGUGGCUUGGAGCUGUUAGACGGGCCAGAAGUGAAAGAAAUAGUAGUGGGUCCACGCGUUGGCAUCGAUUAUGAUUUGCUUGAACAUGUUAGUGCCUUAUGGAGGUUUGCAAUUUGAGAUAGCCGUUGGAUAAGUGCUCCUAAAAACACCCUCAAGGCACCUUAAUUUUCAAAUCAUGGACAUGACUGAUGGAAGGAGUUUUUUUUUUUUUUCGGUUGACAAUCUUAU